rfam:Chania multitudinisentens RB-25, complete genome.
UAACGCACGAUGUCGUGCGGGUGAGAACCUGCGUUCAAGUUCGAGCCGAGCGAAGCGAGACGACAACGCGCAGCGUUGCCCGUAGGGCGACGAGUCAAUCCUGCACGACCCACCA